UACGUAGGGGGCAAGCGUUGUCCGGAUUCAUUGGGCGUACAGAGCGUGUAGGCGGCCAGGUAGGUCGGUUGUGAAAACUGGAGGCUCAACCUUCAGACGUCGACCGAAACCAUCUGGCUAGAGUCCGGGAGAGGAGAGUGGAAUUCCUGGUGUAGCGGUGAAAUGCGCAGAUAUCAGGAAGAACACCCGUAGCGAAAGCGGCGCUCUGGAACGGUACUGACGCUGAGACGCGAAAGCGUGGGGAGCGAACAGG
rnacentral:rRNA from 1 species